UAAAAUUUGUCUUGCAACCUUACUUGUGGUGGAAAAACUAUUCUUCUAAUCAGUCCAAACUCCAACGAAUUUGUGCAAGAGUGCAAGUCAACCAAGUCUUGCUUUGUUAGAGAUUGUUCCUAAUUGUUGAAUUGCGAGCAAUGAAGCGUGACAUCCAUUGUCUGGUGUUUUCAUAAAGCUUGAUUUAUUAGAAUUAUACAAAGUAAAUUUAACUAUAUAAAAAAAAAGUUUGGACUUGUGCAUAGGCGUUGUGCCAAAAAGAAGUUGAAUCACGACUCUUUGUAGAUGUUUACAGAGGAAAAUCAUACAACAAGUGAAGAGGAAAAGGGAGAUUGUUUCCUCUAAAGCCGGUCGACUCAUCCCCGAUAUAGAAGUUAUGCCUAAAGCCAUGACUUUUUUAUAUGAUUGUUUUGACUUUGGGGAAGUUUGAAACAGAUUUUGUUGAGACUUCUGUACAUAGAGACAUACAAAGAAUUGGGCCAAGUGUAAUAAAUAGUGGCGUGGGUUAAAUAGUUCUACAGUGGCCCAAAUUUUAAUUUUGAUCCAUUUUGUAUUUAAUUUUCUCUAAUUUUUGGAUCUUGUAUAUAUAGGAUUGGGCCCACACUAAACAAACGGUUGGAGCUCAUUUUCAUUUGUACUCUCUGAGAAUGAAUAAGAUUUUUCUCUGAACAUGUUCUAGAAACUUCAUCUUACUGAUCUCUUCUCUAUUUUCAUGGCUGAUUCAUAGCUUUAACAUGUUAUCAAAGCCGAGAUCCUUGUAGAUCUGCUCUCUAGCUAGUUUCCGAUAUUACCCUCGUUAUUUUUAUUUGAACAUUUUUCAUGUUGUGAAGUUUGUGUUGGUGAAGCUGGUCAGCAUUCGGUGAAAUUAAGCCCUGUCGUGGUAUUUUUCUAGCCUUAUUCCGGUGAUUAGGCUAUCGUCUGAUGUUUUUUUUUUUAGACGUUCAGGUGAAUUUUUGUCCCUGUUUCUCCGGAGCUGUUUUGGUGAAUUUUCGUCCCCUUCUCAGAAAAUUUUCGCGAUUGUUUGGUGUUUUUGUUGAUAAAGGCCGUCUCCUUCCGGUUGUGAAGGUGUUGGAUAAUGGCGCAUGCUCAUUUUUCAAAUGGCUUGAUGAGCUAUCACCUCCAUCCAGUCCAUCAACGUUUAUUCCGAGACUCAAGACAUCAAAUUUUUAAGGCUUGACAAAAUUUAAUCUACUACAAAGGCUUCAACAAUGCGAAGAAAAUAAAGAUUUUCUCAUGAAUUUGUUCAAAGAGGACGAAGAACAGAGGAAUCACUUUAAACUAUUGCUACACGACACUCAAAUAGAGAGGGAUCAACUAAAACAAAAAUUGAUUUUGGUCGAAGAAAGAGAGAAUGUCCUAAAAAUGAUGUUAUGUGCUAUAAUGCUAGUAUUCGUUCUUUGGAAAAGUGUAACAUGGAUUUAGUGAUAUUGACUAAAUAAUAUUAGUUCUA